rnacentral:rRNA from 1 species
AGCAGCCGCGGUAAUUCCAGCUCCAAUAGCGUAUAUUAAAGUUGUUGCAGUUAAAAAGCUCGUAGUUGAACUUCGGGGUUUACCCAUUGGUCAGGCUUAAUUGUCUGUACUGGUGAGAUAAAUCUCUACCUUCUGAGGAACUUUCAUGUCAUUAAUUUGGUGUGAUUGGAAAUCAGGACUGUUACUUUGAAAAAUUAGAGUGUUUAAAGCAGGCUAACGUCUGAAUACAUUAGCAUGGAAUAAUGAAAUAGGACGGAUUGAUUCUAUUUCGUUGGUUUCUAGGAUCACCGUAAUGAUUAAUAGGGAUAGUUGGGGGCAUUAGUAUUCAAUUGUCAGAGGUGAAAUUCUUGGAUUUAUUGAAGACUAACUACUGCGAAAGCAUUUGCCAAGGAUGUUUUCAUUAAUCAAGAACGAAAGUUAGGGGAUCGAAGACGAUCAGAUACCGUCGUA